rnacentral:rRNA from 1 species
AGGAUGAACGCUGGCGGCGUGCUUAACACAUGCAAGUCGAACGAUGAAGCGGAGCUUGCUCUGUGGAUUAGUGGCGAACGGGUGAGUAACACGUGAGUAACCUGCCCUUGACUCUGGGAUAAGCACUGGAAACGGUGUCUAAUACCGGAUACGAGCUUCAGCCGCAUGGCUAGGAGUUGGAAAGAAUUUCGGUCAAGGAUGGACUCGCGGCCUAUCAGGUAGUUGGUGAGGUAAUGGCCCACCAAGCCUACGACGGGUAGCCGGCCUGAGAGGGUGACCGGCCACACUGGGACUGAGACACGGCCCAGACUCCUACGGGAGGCAGCAGUGGGGAAUAUUGCACAAUGGGCGCAAGCCUGAUGCAGCAACGCCGCGUGAGGGACGACGGCCUUCGGUUGUAACCUCUUUAGUAGGAAGAAGCGAAAGUGACGGUACCUGACAGAAAAGCACCGGCUAACUACGCGCCAGCAGCCGCGGU